rnacentral:tRNA from 1 species
UCCCUGGUGGUCUAGUGGUUAGGAUUCGGGCGCCGCCACGCCAGCGUCCGGUUCGAUUCCCGGUCAGGGAA